rnacentral:rRNA from 1 species
UCAGGCCUAACACAUGCAAGUCGAGCGGAAACGAGUUAACUGAACCUUCGGGGAACGUUAACGGCGUCGAGCGGCGGACGGGUGAGUAAUGCCUGGGAAAUUGCCCUGAUGUAGGGGAUAACCAUUGGAAACGAUGGCUAAUACCGCAUAAUAGCUUCGGCUCAAAGAGGGGGACCUUCGGGCCUCUCGCGUCAGGAUAUGCCCAGGUGGGAUUAGCUAGUUGGUGAGGUAAGGGCUCACCAAGGCGACGAUCCCUAGCUGGUCUGAGAGGAUGAUCAGCCACACUGGAACUGAGACACGGUCCAGACUCCUACGGGAGGCAGCAGUGGGGAAUAUUGCACAAUGGGCGCAAGCCUGAUGCAGCCAUGCCGCGUGUAUGAAGAAGGCCUUCGGGUUGUAAAGUACUUUCAGCAGUGAGGAAGGCGGAGUCGUUAAUAGCGGCCUCGUUUGACGUUAGCUGCAGAAGAAGCACCGGCUAACUCCGUGCCAGCAGCCGCGGUAAUACGGAGGGUGCGAGCGUUAAUCGGAAUUACUGGGCGUAAAGCGCAUGCAGGUGGUUUGUUAAGUCAGAUGUGAAAGCCCGGGGCUCAACCUCGGAAUUGCAUUUGAAACUGGCAGACUAGAGUACUGUAGAGGGGGGUAGAAUUUCA